rnacentral:rRNA from 3 species
ACGGGUGAGUAACGCGUGGGAAUCUACCCUUGACUACGGAAUAACGCAGGGAAACUUGUGCUAAUACCGUAUGUGUCCUUCGGGAGAAAGAUUUAUCGGUCAAGGAUGAGCCCGCGUUGGAUUAGCUAGUUGGUGGGGUAAAGGCCUACCAAGGCGACGAUCCAUAGCUGGUCUGAGAGGAUGAUCAGCCACAUUGGGACUGAGACACGGCCCAAACUCCUACGGGAGGCAGCAGUGGGGAAUAUUGGACAAUGGGCGCAAGCCUGAUCCAGCCAUGCCGCGUGAGUGAUGAAGGCCCUAGGGUUGUAAAGCUCUUUCACCGGAGAAGAUAAUGACGGUAUCCGGAGAAGAAGCCCCGGCUAACUUCGUGCCAGCAGCCGCGGUAAUACGAAGGGGGCUAGCGUUGUUCGGAAUUACUGGGCGUAAAGCGCACGUAGGCGGAUCGAUCAGUCAGGGGUGAAAUCCCAGGGCUCAACCCUGGAACUGCCUUUGAUACUGUCGAUCUGGAGUAUGGAAGAGGUGAGUGGAAUUCCGAGUGUAGAGGUGAAAUUCGUAGA